rnacentral:rRNA from 1 species
UCGAGAAUCUUCCGCAAUGGGCGCAAGCCUGACGGAGCGACGCCGCGUGCGGGAUGAAGGCCUUCGGGUUGUAAACCGCUGUCAGAGAGGCGGAAAUGCUAUGGGGUUCUCUCCAUAGUUUGACCUAAUCUCAGAGGAAGUGCAGGCUAAGUUCGUGCCAGCAGCCGCGGUAAUACGAACUGCACAAACGUUAUUCGGAAUCACUGGGCUUAAAGAGUCCGUAGGCGGCCUGGAAGGUGAGGUGUGAAAUACCUCGGCUCAACCGAGGAACUGCGCCUCAAACCAUCAGGCUCGAGGGAGACAGGGGUGAGCGGAACAGAUGGUGGAGCGGUGAAAUGCGUUGAUAUCAUCUGGAACACCGGUGGCGAAGGCGGCUCACUGGGUCUUUUCUGACGCUGAGGGACGAAAGCUAGGGGAGCGAACGGGAUUAGAUACCCCCGUAGUCC